AGGGCCCUAGCAAAUUCAUGGUCCAUUUUGAUCAAUUUCAUGGCCAGAGGGUUUUUAAUUGGUCAAUUUCACAUUUUCAGCUGUUUGCAUCUGAAAUUUCAUGGUGCUGUAACCCUAGGGGUUCCAACCCAAAAGGGGGUCAUAAACUUGUUG